rnacentral:lncRNA from 1 species
GCGGCUUCUCGACUUAUUGCGGAUCGGCAUCAGGUAAAUUCCCUUCUUAAGCUUCCUUUCUGGUUAUUAGCAGUUAGCAUCCGUCUUCCUCUCCUCGUGGAAGCUGUGUCUGCGCCUGUGUAUCACAAAGUUUACACUUUUCAAUGCUGUAUAUAAAUACAUUAGACAACCUUUACCUUAGCAGCCAAAGCUUGGCUGACGCAAGAAAGUGUGACAGGAUGAGGCAAUGCGCUCCAUGUGCGAUCCACCACCUUAAGAACAUCGCCAUCCGUGGAUUCAUUGGGAUCGGUCACCCUUACCGACUUGCUGUGCUUAAUUA